UGGACACAAUAUCUUCAUUUUAUUUUUAUGCGGUGCCGAGGGUCAAACCCAGGGCCUCACACAGGCUGGGCAAGCGCUGUACACUGAGCCACCACCCCAGCCCUUGAAUGUGACUUUUAAGCAAAACACCCAGCAGGUAUGGCAGCUCAGGGGACGAUGACGUCAGCGAGCAGGCUCCUGACAGAGCUGGCUCUUCUCUUGCCCGCGUCCUCCUCCACUCUUCCCGGCCAGCCUGAGAGACGCACUGCUGUCCCCGACUUCCAGAUGAGGAAACCGAGGCUCAGGUGUGACUUGCUCCAUGCAUCCAGCUUGUAAAGACAAACAGGCACACAGACCUGUCACCUGCUGGGCAGGAGCCCGCAGCUCGGGGGUCACCCCUGAUGGACACGCUUUGCGAACUGCAGAGUGCCGGCCACCUCUGGGGUGUGGCAUCUCUGGUGAUUCCUCUGAUAGCGAUGAUCACAACGGCCACCUCUGGGCCACCACCGGUACCUGCCCUGCACAAACGUGGUCACUCACUUCUGGCCAGCUCCACGAGGUUUAGGUCUCCAGCACCCAGCAGGGUUGAGACGAGGCUCGCGGUUCAGGGCAGUGUGGAGGGGGCUCCAGUCCCCCAGGCCCUCGGGCACCUGGUCUCUCUCCAGCCCAAGUGACUCCACCCCGCGCCUCCGGCCUCUGGGCACCUGCCCCACUGAUCCUCCUUCUGGAAAGCCCCUACCUCCUGACCACCUGGAAAGAGCCCUAGGGCUGGUCAUCAGGCGCCUCCUCUGUGAGGUCCUCCUCUGUCUGUCCGCAUCCUGUCCACACCGCCCGCUGUCCACACCAGCAAACCCAUUUGCAUAGCUGGCGGUGAGACCUGGGCAAGCUCGUCCACCUCUCUGUGCUUGCUUCUCUGCGAAGCAGGGGCAGCACCGUGACCUGCCUAGGACGGGCUGACACUUGCAAGGCAUUUACAAGAAUGUCUGGCAUGGAGUAAGUAAGCAGUGAAUGUCACCAUUAUUAAAAUAAUGACUCUUACCUCAUGGGCUGUCAUGAGGAUUAGCCGUCGAGUGCUUAAUACCAUCCGGCAUCACGAGCGCCUUGAGAAAGGGGAGCUUCCUCCUCCG
rnacentral:lncRNA from 1 species